rnacentral:rRNA from 1 species
UUAAGCAUAUCAAUAAGCGGAGGAAAAGAAACCAACAGGGAUUGCCUUAGUAACGGCGAGUGAAGCGGCAACAGCUCAAAUUUGAAAUCUGGCCCUCGGGUCCGAAAUUGUAAUUUGUAGAGGAUGAUUUUGGUGCGGUAUCUUCCGAGUUCCUUGGAACAGGACGCCUUAGAGGGUGAGAGCCCCGUACGGUUGAAUGCCUAGCCUCUGUAAAUCUCCUUCGACGAGUCGAGUAGUUUGGGAAUGCUGCUCUAAAUGGGAGGUAAAUUUCUUCUAAAGCUAAAUAUUGGCCAGAGACCGAUAGCGCACAAGUAGAGUGAUCGAAAGAUGAAAAGCACUUUGAAAAGAGGGUUAAAUAGCACGUGAAAUUGUUGAAAGGGAAGGAUUUGUGACCAGACUUUUUCUGGGCGGAUCAUCCGGGGUUCUCUCCGGUGCACUUUGCCCAGUAAAGGCCAGCAUCGAUUUUCGGCGGCGGAUAAAAGCAGUGGGAAUGUGGCUCCCUACGGGGAGUGUUAUAGCCCAUUGUAUAAUACGCUGCUGGGGAUCGAGGUACGCGCUUCUGCAAGGAUGCUGGCGUAAUGGUUAUCAAUCACCCGUCUUGAAACACGGACCAAGGAGUCGAACAUUUAUGCGAGUGUUUGGGUGUUAAACCCUCACGCGUAAUGAAAGUGAACGGAGGUGAGAGCCCGUACGGGUGCAUCAUCGACCGAUCCUGAAGUUUUCGGAUGGAUUUGAGUAAGAGCAUAACUGUUCGGACCCGAAAGAUGGUGAACUAUGCGUGGAUAGGGUGAAGCCAGAGGAAACUCUGGUGGAGGCUCGCAGCGGUUCUGACGUGCAAAUCGAUCGUCAAAUCUGCGCAUGGGGGCGAAAGACUAAUCGAACCAUCUAGUAGCUGGUUACCGCCGA